rnacentral:lncRNA from 1 species
UGGUGUCCCUCAGUGUGACUGCAGUAAUGAUCCCCUGCUGCCAUCCCCACACCUGAGAGGGGUUUGCUCCUCCACCUGGAUGCAGCCUAUGGAGAACUAACACCAUGGGACUGCUGAUCUUUGCUGUCUGCUCUUCAGACUCUUCUUAUGUACCAGUGGCUGAAGUUUUCCUCUGGGAAAAAAACAUCAGAAGAUCGCCGGGUGCUGAACUUGUGUUGGGUCGGAGCGAUGGGGUGUGAGUAGUGUCGGUGGAGGAGCUGUGCAAUCCGACCAGGCCCAGUAAUGACCUCACUUGCAGAUCUCGGACCUGUAGAUGGAGCAAUUGCACUGCUGAAAAGAACCAGGAGCGCCUGCUGACCCCUUCCCAGCAAUUCAGAGCAAUUUUUAAAUCGGGAAAUAUUUGUCCCAUAUGGCUCUGCUGAGGCAUUUAGCUAAAAAUGCAACAACAAAAAGUAAACCGAAAAAAUCCAACGUCAGAAUCCAACGGAGCUUGGCAGGCUCUACCCCAAUCAUACCACGAACAGGAAGAGCCCUGCAGCUACACCAAGUUGUGUGCAUGUUAAGACACACAAUUAACACCAUCUCUGUGAAAUACAGAUACAUUUGCUAGACUUUCUGCCAUGGUGUUCUGAGGGCUUUCCAGUGAAGUUCAAAGGUAGUUACCUCAAAAGGUCAAACUGCUUCCAGGAAAAGGAACAGACAGAGUUACUUCUGGAUCUGCCAUUGGCUGGUGGUAUUUAUUUUCUUUGAACAAACAAGAAAAACCCAACAAAUACCCACACACACACAAUUUAUUAACCACCAACCACCCAUAGAACCACCAGAAGUGCAAUGUAUUGUGAAUGCCUCUCCCCAUUCCCUUUUUCUCGGUAAAGAAUGCAGAAGUAUGCUGUGAUUGAGCUCCAUCAAAAAGGACUUGCUCUCUCAGUGGCACACCAGAGCUAAAGACGCGCUGUUUCUACACUUGGAAGCAAAUCUUUUUGCCCGUUUUCCUCAGUACCUUUCUGCUUAUUUCUUUGAACAAACCCAUUGGGAAACAAAAUAAAACAAUAUACCUCUGAAGUUCUUGCCUCUGUUGCCUUCCCCUGCCAGACAGCUACUGCAGGAGAAGCCUACUGCCAGCCCGGGUCUGUGGAAUAAUAAAUGCCCUCCAUUGCUUUGUGCUGGGGAUCAAAGCAAGAACUGCAUUCAAAUAGCAGGAAAGUGAUCUGAA